rnacentral:misc_RNA from 1 species
AACCUUAUAUCACGGGGGCCGGCCUUAAAUUGCUUGCAGUUCUAAUGCAACAGCUUUUACUGAUCUAUUAUAAUACUCAGCUCUUCUCUCUGCCCUGCCGGAACAUUACCUAUGAUUUUUGCGUACCUAUUAUUUCCUCGGUAGGCUUACCUACUAGUAGGACCUUUUUAAACCUUUUUAUAAUUGCAGUUAGCGUUAGAAAAACUUUAAUAGUUA